AGCUCGUGUCGUGAGAUGUUGGGUUAAGUCCCGCAACGAGCGCAACCCUUAUUAUCAGUUGCCAGCAUUAAGUUGGGCACUCUGGUGAGACUGCCGGUGACAAACCGGAGGAAGGUGGGGAUGACGUCAAAUCAUCAUGCCCCUUAUGACCUGGGCUACACACGUGCUACAAUGGAUGGUACAACGAGUUGCGAACUCGCGAGAGUAAGCUAAUCUCUUAAAGCCAU
rnacentral:rRNA from 1 species